rnacentral:tRNA from 1 species
GCCUUCGCGGUGUAGUGGUCAGCACGCUCGACGCGUAAUCGAGAGGUCCGUGGUUCAAUUCCCGGCGAAGGCG